UACGUAGGGGGCUAGCGUUGUCCGGAAUCAUUGGGCGUAAAGAGCGCGUAGGCGGCCCGGUAAGUCUGCUGUAAAAGUCAAAGGCUUAACCUUUGAAAGUCAGUGGAUACUGUCGGGCUAGAGUCCGGAAGAGGCGAGUGGAACUCCUGGUGUAGCGGUGGAAUGCACAGAUAUCAGGAAGAACACCAACGGCGAAGGCAGCUCGCUGGGACGGAACUGACGCUGAGGCGCGAAAGCGUGGGGAGCGAACAGG
rnacentral:rRNA from 1 species